AUGUGGUUCACUUCACAAUACACCAACAUGGGCAUGACUCCCCAUUUCUCCUCAGUCAUGUUCCAACACACAGUACAAGAGGAACAUGCUGGUGUGAAAGGCCAGUGGUCUCAGCCAGGCCUGAGUAAACAGAUUUUCUUUCUCAAAUUCCUACUGAUGGAGAAAGUAAGGAUUCUGGUGUGGCAAAAAAAAAAGAAAAACAAAGUAACUUGUCACUUAGUAAUUCAUGUGGAAAGAGACCUAGCCUACAAGAGGACAUUGUCAGCUGAAUGA
rnacentral:lncRNA from 1 species